UUCUCUCUCCAUCACAACUAAUUACAAGAGCACUUCAUUUCAGAUAUUUGCAUCUGAUCAUUACUUGAACAAAAUAUUUUUUUCUCUCUCCAGCUCAACUCUUUGUUUAUCUUUUGAUUUUCCCUUAAUUUAAUCAAAUGCCUAAGUCAAAUCAAAUUUGAUGAAACUCAAAGCGAAAAUUACUGGAGGAGCUUACACCAGAAUGAUUUUUGCUCCAACUACGUUAAAUCGGAUUUUCUUUCUCCAUUUUUCUUCAGAUCGACCUAGGAUCGAAGAAAUUAGAGGAGCUCGAGAAGAAGGAGAAGAUACUUCUGAAGAAGGUUUUCGAGGAGGUUGAAAAGGCCAAAGAGUUUACAAGAGCUAAGAACAAGAGUGCGGCUAUUCAAUGUUUGAAGAGGAAGAAGUUGUAUGAAGAACAGAUUGAGAAAUAUGGGGGUUUCCAACUUCGCAUUCACGAUCAGAUGAUAACACGCUCGAAGGUGUGAAAGCCACAACUGAAACUAUUGCAGCUUUGAAAACUAUAGCAGCUGCAAUGAAAGGAAUGCAUAAAGCAUUGUGCCGAAGAACCUUUCUUUUCUACUUGCUGAUGGAUCUAUUGAUGUUGAGCUUCAGAUUGGUUUCUUGCCAUAAGAAUAGGGCACUUUCUACUAUUAUGCCCUAAAGUUCGACCUGAUCCGCACUUUUUUUCCUACUCUUUCUUCAUGCUUUUAACAAGUGAGUUCCUUUAUGUGCCCUAGAAGGAGUUGCUAAAUUAUUUUCUCACAAAAAAGAAAAGGAAAGAAAAGAGAAGAAGGGUUCAUCAACCGACAAACACAAAAGUUAUUCAUCCAUGAAUUAAAGGAAUAAUCGCAUCCCAAUGAAUGAAAGAAGGAAGAAGGCUGAGAUAUGAGAUAUAGUUAUGAAUGAGGAGAGGAUGCUACCGAACGAUCUGUGAAAGUGUUACGUUAGUUUUUUUUUUUUUUUUUAAAAGUGUUUUUUGUUGUUAUACCAUAUUUACCCUUGACAGUAGGGAUAAGUCUGUUAAAAUUGCUAAUCACCAUUACUUGAAGGAUUAAAACAAUUCACUUUAUUUAAUUAAAGGUUAAAGAGGGAAGUUAAAUAUCACAGGGACUAAAAUCAUAAUAAGGCCCAAACACAGGGACUAAAAUAAUUUUUUUCCCUAAAAGCAACUUGAAUUUUUGA